GAAAACCAAGGUGGUAUGGGAUGGACCCGCGUCUGAUUAGCUGGUUGGCGGGGUAAAGGCCCACCAAGGCGACGAUCAGUAGCCGGCCUGAGAGGGUGGACGGCCACAUUGGGACUGAGACACGGCCCAAACUCCUACGGGAGGCAGCAGUGGGGAAUAUUGCACAAUGGGGGAAACCCUGAUGCAGCGACGCCGCGUGAGUGAAGAAGUAAUUCGUUAUGUAAAGCUCUAUCAGCAGGGAAGAAAAUGACGGUACCUGAGUAAGAAGCCCCGGCUAACUACGUGCCAGCAGCCGCGGUAAUACGUAGGGGGCAAGCGUUAUCCGGAUUUACUGGGUGUAAAGGGAGCGUAGACGGCAGUGCAAGUCUGGAGUGAAAGGCGGGGGCUCAACCCCCGGACUGCUCUGGAAACUGUACGGCUGGAGUGCAGGAGAGGUAAGUGGAAUUCCUAGUGUAGCGGUGAAAUGCGUAGAUAUUAGGAGGAACACCAGUGGCGAAGGCGGCUUACUGGACUGUAACUGACGUUGAGGCUCGAAAGCGUGGGGAGCAAACAGGAUUAGAUACCCUGGUAGUCCACGCCGUAAACGAUGAUCACUAGGUGUCGGGGGUUAAAGAACCUUCG
rnacentral:rRNA from 1 species